GGCGGGGCCGGCACACCACAGCACCUCGAGACCGGAAGGCGGCCGUCCGGCCGAGAAAAGGUUUAAUGAGACCCCCGCCCAGGGGCACGUGGGAGACCUGAGGAAGGUUGCAGAGCUACAGGAAAAGAUGAAAACCAUGGAUGCCAAAGUGACUGGAGUCAAAACCACUCCAAUCUCAGGAAGGUCUGUCUUCCCCUGGAUAGGAUGCCUCCUCACUCCCACCCUCCUGUGCCCUCAAGGUGUGGAUUACAGUUCAUAGUGUCUCAUUAUUUAAAAAAUAAAAAAAUAAAAAUUGGGGCACUGGGGUGCUCAGUCAGUUAA